rnacentral:lncRNA from 1 species
AUGUAUGAGCUCUCCCUUUAUUGGAUGUGCAACUCUGGACCAUUCAUUAAAACUCUCAUCUUGUCUGAUCAAUACAGAGGUCACCCCCAUGAAUGGGCAACUUCCAUUGAAGGGAUAAACUACGUGAGCUCAAUCACAGCCCCUUGGCUUUCGACUGACCUCCCACCGAAAGUUCUGGACCUUGACUAAAGUCCUCAUCCAAACACGGGCUAAUGAUCUUAAAAUUGUUAUCUCCUG